UACAGAGGUCCCAAGCGUUGUUCGGAUUCAUUGGGCGUAAAGGGUGUGUAGGUGGCGCCGUAAGUCGGGUGUGAAAUUUCGGAGCUUAACUCUGAAACUGCAUUCGAUACUGCGGUGCUUGAGGACUGGAGAGGAGACUGGAAUUCAUGGUGUAGCAGUGAAAUGCGUAGAGAUCAUGAGGAAGACCAGUGGCGAAGGCGGGUCUCUGGACAGUUCCUGACACUGAGACACGAAGGCCAGGGGAGCAAACGGG
rnacentral:rRNA from 1 species